GAAAUGCGAUAAGUAAUGUGAAUUGCAGAAUUCAGUGAAUCAUCGAAUCUUUGAACGCACAUUGCGCCCGCCAGUAUUCUGGCGGGCAUGCCUGUUCGAGCGUCAUUUCAACCAUCAAGCCCCCGGGCCUGUGUUGGGGACCUGCGGCUGCCCGCAGGCCCCGAAAACCAGUGGCGGGCUCGCUGUCACCCCGAGCGUAGUAGCAACACCUCGCCCAGGGAGUGCCGCGGGCACCGGCCGUAAAACCUUCUCACAUCCAAAGGUUGACCUCGGAUCAGGUAGGAAUACCCGCUGAACUUAA
rnacentral:misc_RNA from 1 species